rnacentral:lncRNA from 1 species
GGCAUGGAUUCAGCUGGUUGGUUUAUCUACAGCUCAGAGGGAAGACUGACGUUCAAAGAAGUGAAGCAACUCACCCAGCGAAUAAGUGAGUAGAACAAGGGCUAACACCCAAGUCUUCUUAGUUCUCAGACAAAUGCUCCUGCCUCUUCAUUAUGCCUCCGAGAUAAGGUGAGCUGCUUCCAGAGCAGUUAGCAUCAUACAUAGAAAACUGUUCAUUGUCAGUAUCUGACCUCUAGCCCCAACCACUUAUCAACAGCCAGUCAUAACCACAGCUGACCCUUUAUCUUGACUACAAGCUUGCUUUACCCUGGCUACCACUUGACCCCUAACCCUGGCCACUGCUGGCCCCUAAUUGAGACCACAAGCUAUCCCUAAUGCCAGCCAUGUUCAGCACUGGCCAG